UAUUUUUAACAUCUUGAUUACUUUAGAAUAUUAUAAUGCAUUUUGUAUUACUCUUAAUUGGGCAACACCCAUCAUAUAUGGAUUGCUUUUAAAACUAUAUUAAUAUUGGGAUUUGUAUUUUCUAUAUUUUAAGCUGAUUUUAAUACUUACUAAAUCUGUUUGUAAGUUAUGAGUUGUAUUCUCAUUUCCUAUAUUCUUUGAAUAAAUUUGCAUACUAAAUUACCACCCCCACCGUCUGACCUGGAUUUAGAGUAAAUUUUUUGCAUCAGUUUAUGGAGGCACCCGCUGGAGAUCGUUGAAGUUUUCAUUUCAUUGAAGUUUUGAUGCGUACCGCAAGGGACAUUAAAAAGAGAGGUAUGAGUGCAUGCUGAUACGGACCUAUCCUGCGUACAUUUACCACACGACUGGUUCUAAGGGUGACCCUUUGGUUUGACUUCUGCAACAGUGCAGCUCAUCGAUGAUUCGGGAGAGGUUGCGGUGCUCGUAGCUGGACAUCAGUGUUGGAUCCCAAGAACUGGACGCAUCGUCAUCACAUCGCACGCUAACUCUACAUCAUCUGAGAGACUUGUGCUUUAAUCUACCAGCUGAUAUAUAGAUUUACAAAUCCCUACAUCAAGAUGCCUGACAAGAUUAUUGAUCAAAAAGAUUCUUUUACUCCUAUUGCUACCAGCAGUGAUGAAGAAAUGUAUGAAUUAGAGGUGAAGGGUAAGGAAAGAUACGAGAUGUUGAAAAAGAUCAACGAAAGUUUGGAAAUUUGCGACAUGAUACCCCAAUCUGAUAAAGACAAAUAUCUUAAGAAGCUACCCAUUAAGAAGAGAAAGUAUGAUGAUAAGUUUAGAGAUGGAAAGAAGGGUAUGCUGUAGUAAGUCCUCGACCCAGCAAAAGUCCAGGUGAGGUCAGGGGUCGGAUGCUUUUAGUGCUCCUCGUCUGAUCAGCUUGGUGAAGAAUUCCUGUCAACUUUAACGUGGCUGGGGUUAAAGAGGUAUCUACAGUCUAUCUGAAAAGAUUUAUUCACUUUUAUAUUUCCUUUAUGCUUACACGAUUAAGUGCUUAUCUGAAAUGUUUUACUUAUUCGUUUUUCUGCAUAUGUAUUUGUUUCUUUUGAAUAUUAUGUAUUUUAUUUUUAGGGGAAAGAAAUUUGGUUGCGAGUCUUUUGUUAAGACUCGAGUGGGGGACUGGUGUAACCCAAAUUUGGACCUCUGUCUUGAGGGCAUUGGCUACGUGCUUAAAAGUACAGAACAGUCUGUUUCUGAAGGUCUCAGUUGAACUUUAGACCUUAGAAGACGUAUGUGCAUCAUGUAUUUAAAUUUGAGGUUAAUUUACAGCCUUCUGAGCAAUGCUCAAAGUCCAACAAGCAACAACUAUCGGCCGACUGUUCUGAAAUAGGGAACUGAAACCAGACUGCAGAGCUCAUCUGAUAUUUUUGGAUUAAUGAUUUAACACCUCUUGAUAUUUGCUGCAUAGACGGUUUUUAGUUUUAAUCACGAGUUCCUUUGUUUGGCAGAGCUAUAAGAGGAGGCAAUGUAUCCCUCCUGGUUUAGCUCAGGCUGAGUUCAGACUAGACCCUUCUAGCUGGACUUAGUCUUUGCUCACCUUCUUCUUCAUCUUUGAUUCCGGGCUCACUUGAAUACUUCAACUUCUCUCAGGUUUUAUUCAUCUCAGAUAUGAUUAUUAUUAUAUUAUUUGUUAUUAUAUGAAUAUUAGUAUAACUUUUGACUUUGGAUAUACAGGUAUUGUUGUAUACUUUGUAUUAUUAUUUUUAACAUCUUGAUUACUUUAGAAUAUUAUAAUGCAUUUUGUAUUACUCUUAAUUGGGCAACACCCAUCAUAUAUGGAUUGCUUUUAAAACUAUAUUAAUAUUGGGAUUUGUAUUUUCUAUAUUUUAAGCUGAUUUUAAUACUUACUAAAUCUGUUUGUAAGUUAUGAGUUGUAUUCUCAUUUCCUAUAUUCUUUGAAUAAAUUUGCAUACUAAAUUACCACCCCCAC